rnacentral:tRNA from 1 species
AUUUGUAUAGUUUAAAAAAAACACUAUAUUUUCAUUAUAGAAUUAGAUUUUUCUUAUAAAUU